rnacentral:tRNA from 1 species
GCCCAAGUGGUGGAAUUGGUAGACACAAGGGACUUAAAAUCCCUUGGACGCAAGUCCGUGCCGGUUCAAGUCCGGCCUUGGGCA